rnacentral:misc_RNA from 1 species
UUUCAGCUUACGCAGUUACGCUUUACUUUCUCUCUCUAAAAUCUAAGGAGCCAAACUCUCUCUCCAAGAAUGGCACCAAAGGCGGAGAAGAAGCCGGCUGAGAAGAAGCCAGCGGAAGAGAAGAAGACAGUGGCAGAGAAAGCUCCGGCGGAGAAGAAGCCGAAGGCCGGAAAGAAGCUACCAAAAGAUGGUGGCGCGGCGGCUGGAGACAAGAAAAAGAAGCGCGUGAAGAAGAGCACGGAGACAUACAAGAUCUACAUCUUUAAGGUCUUGAAGCAGGUCCACCCAGACAUCGGGAUCUCGAGCAAGGCAAUGGGUAUCAUGAACUCCUUUAUAAACGAUAUUUUCGAGAAGCUUGCACAGGAAGCGUCGAGGUUAGCGAGGUACAACAAGAAACCAACAAUUACUUCGAGGGAGAUCCAGACAGCUGUGAGAUUGGUGUUGCCUGGAGAGUUGGCUAAGCAUGCUGUGUCUGAGGGGACUAAGGCAGUGACCAAGUUCACUAGCUCUUGAAGCAGUGCAGGACUGCCGGAGACUCGUUUGUUGGUUGAUAGUGAAUUAGGGUUUCUUGUGUGUAUGUGUAGGGUUAGGUAAGGUAAUGGUCUAUUUUACUAUUUCUGGUGUUUUUCUUUUGAAUUUGAUUUGGGUUUAUAGUUAAAGCUUGGAUCUUCUCGAUCCCAAUGUUUCUAUGUUAGAAUUGAAAUACAAAAAUCGCUUGAUUGUGUUUGUCAAAAUAGAUUUGUGAAUUUGAAGAAGAUGAGAGGGAUUUGGGUUUGUGUAAAUUGACGAUUAUUUUGCUCAAGUUGAUUGUUGGCUUUUCUUGCUGAUUUGAAUUCUUUCAAAUUCAAAUUGUACUCCGAAAAUAAACAGGCCAUGUUCUGUUCUGAUCAGCUCUGCUCUGUUCUGCGUAUUGCUCAAGCACAGAGGAAGAUGAAUGUUGAAAGUUUCUGAAGAUGCUGAUUCUAUUUUUGAAGCUCAAAUAUAAAACAAUUUGAACACUUAACAUAGAUGGGAAGAUUCGAAAUCAGGAGAUAACUUUAACAAUGGAAAUUAAGAAUAUAUGCUCAGUAUGUGGGAGAAUUUACAAUACAACAAUUGUAGCAUUGGUCACUGUGGGCUUCAAUCGAAUCUCAUCGGAUGAUCAAUUGUUGUCCUGAUUAACUAUCGAGGGUGUGUAUUUGUCGUAUUGUAUUUAAU